AAUCGGUAGACGCUACGGACUU
rnacentral:tRNA from 1 species